CGCGUAGGCGGUCUCUUAAGUCAGAUGUGAAAGCCCGGGGCUUAACCUCGGAAGUGCAUUUGAAACUAAGGGACUUGAGUAUGGGAGAGGGAAGUGGAAUUCCUGGUGUAGCGGUGAAAUGCGUAGAUAUCAGGAGGAACACCGGUGGCGAAGGCGACUUCCCGGACCAAUACUGACGCUGAGGCGCGAAGGCGUGGGGAGCAAACAGGAUUAGAUACCCUGGUAGUCC
rnacentral:rRNA from 1 species